rnacentral:rRNA from 1 species
AGCGGCGAACGGGUUAGUAACGCGUGGGAACGUGCCCUUUAGUACGGAAUAGCCAUUGGAAACGAUGAUUAAUACCGUAUACGCCCCAAGGGGGAAAGAUUUAUCGCUAAAGGAUCGGCCCGCGUUAGAUUAGGUAGUUGGUAGGGUAAUGGCCUACCAAGCCGACGAUCUAUAGCUGGUUUGAGAGGAUGAUCAGCAACACUGGGACUGAGACACGGCCCAGACUUCUACGGAAGGCAGCAGUAGGGAAUCUUGGACAAUGGGCGAAAGCCUGAUCCAGCCAUGCCGCGUGAGUGAUGAAGGCCCUAGGGUUGUAAAGCUCUUUCGCCAGGGAAGAUAAUGACGGUACCUGGUAAAG